GAUGAACGCUGGCGGCGUGCCUAAUACAUGCAAGUCGAGCGAACAGACGAGGAGCUUGCUCCUUUGACGUUAGCGGCGGACGGGUGAGUAACACGUGGGUAACCUACCUAUAAGACUGGGAUAACUUCGGGAAACCGGAGCUAAUACCGGAUAAUAUUUCGAACCGCGUGGUUCGAUAGUGAAAGAUGGCUUUGCUAUCACUUAUAGAUGGACCUGCGCCGUAUUAGCUAGUUGGUAAGGUAACGGCUUACCAAGGCAACGAUACGUAGCCGACCUGAGAGGGUGAUCGGCCACACUGGAACUGAGACACGGUCCAGACUCCUACGGGAGGCAGCAGUAGGGAAUCUUCCGCAAAGGGCGAAAGCCUGACGGAGCAACGCCGCGUGAGUGAUGAAGGUCUUCGGAUCGUAAAACUCUGUUAUUAGGGAAGAACAAACGUGUAAGUAACUGUGCACGUCUUGACGGUACCUAAUCAGAAAGCCACGGCUAACUACGUG
rnacentral:rRNA from 1 species